rnacentral:rRNA from 1 species
AAACUUGGGCUAAUACCGCAUGAGCCCUGAGGGGGAAAGCGGGGGAUCUUCGGACCUCGCGCUAAGGGAAGAGCCUACGUCUGAUUAGCUAGUUGGUAGGGUAAAGGCCUACCAAGGCGACGAUCAGUAGCUGGUCUGAGAGGACGACCAGCCACACUGGGACUGAGACACGGCCCAGACUCCUACGGGAGGCAGCAGUGGGGAAUUUUUCGCAAUGGGGGCAACCCUGACGAAGCAAUGCCGCGUGGAUGAAGAAGGCCUUCGGGUUGUAAAGUCCUUUCGUGGGGGACGAAAAGGCGGGUCCUAAUACGAUCUGCUGUUGACGUGAACCCAAGAAGAAGCACCGGCUAACUCCGUGCCAGCAGCCGCGGUAAUACGGGGGGUGCAAGCGUUAAUCGGAAUCACUGGGCGUAAAGGGUGCGUAGGCGGUACGUUAGGUCUGUCGUGAAAUCCCCGGGCUCAACCUGGGAAUGGCGGUAGAAACCGGCGCACUAGAGUAUGGGAGAGGGUGGUGGAAUUCCAGGUGUAGCGGUGAAAUGCGUAGAGAUCUGGAGGAACAUCAGUGGCGAAGGCGGCCACCUGGCCCAAUACUGACGCUGAGGCACGAAAGCGUGGGGAGCAAACAGGAUUAGAUACCCUGGUAGUCCACGCCCUAAACGAUGAAAUACUAGAUGUUCGGUACCUAGCGUACUGAGUGUCGUAGCUAACGCGAUAAAGUAUUCCGCCUGGGGAAGUACGGCCGCAAGGUUAAAACUCAAAGGAAUUGACGG